CAAGAUGAAAAUUCGCCACAGUUUCCGUCAUAAAUUCACAAUGACUGAUAUUUUCUUAUUAUAUGUGUAGUUAUAACGCAUUUAUCAGUGUUUGGUCGUGUCACUCAUGGGAUGUGCUGCCCCCCCUUCACCCCACUCACAGGCUUUAGCGUGUGCCCAUUUGAGGCUCUUUUUGUCAAACAUGCGUCAGGUGCUGCUUGGUAAGUUUUGUUUUGCUAUCUUGGCUAUGCCAUGUUGCUUUAGCCUUUAAAGGUCUGUGCUGAGAGUCAUCACACACAAACUAGCUUAGCAUAGCAUUAGCAUAGCAUUUGCGUUAGCAUUUAGCGUGGUGACUCGGCGACAGACCUGUUAAGUUUCACGAUUUGGUCGGGAGACUCCCGAUUUUGACCCCAAUGCUCACGCCUCACGAUUAGAAAGCUAAAUCUCCCGAUUUUCCAAAAAUGUCAAUUUUAUUUUAUUUUUUUUACGUUUUUGUUUGUCACCGUUUUGUAAAGAUACCAUUCAGCCCGAUUCGGAAAGUGACCAACAACGAAUAGCCUGGCCGUCUCCGACUUCCCUGCCCUCCCUCCCCUUCAGAGCUGGAAAAGCCCAAACAUCUGACAGGGAGGGAAGAGGCGAAGCACCACCGACUUCCCAAGAUGCUGGCACUAAUAAACCGGCUUUUAGACUGGUUCAAGUCUUUAUUUUGGAAGGAAGAGAUGGAGCUGAUUCGGGAAAAACGACGUUCGUCAACGUAAUUGCCUCUGACGAAACCCUAAUUGGAGUGAUGGUUGAUGAGAUGAAGAGGCUGCUGAGGAAGCUGAUGUCCAAAUUUGUGCAAAUGGAUGUGAUCAGGAAAGCUGAGGAUAUCCUAGAUGUUGAUUACAGGAACAAGGAGAACUGGCAUGACACAGGCAACAUAGCGGUAUCACAUGAUGCCAGACAAUACAUGGAGCAAGUUGAAGACUAUCUCUGAUGCCACCAAAAAGAGGUUCUUUGACAGUGUAGUUAAUUUUUACACAAGUGUUGUGACCAAAAUGAACUUGAAAAAAAAUGGUUGCAUUUUGUCUUAGCGAUUGUCGCGCGAGCGCGCGUCAUCGGGGUUGGCAAACAGAAAUCUCCCUAUUUGCAAUUUCUACAACUUAACAGGUAUGCUCGGUGUCUUCUUAAACACUGGGAAAACAUUUUACAUACAGUUCGUGGUGUCCAGGUGAGUUUAAUUAAAUUGCAAAUAAUGUGCCGUUUUCCUGCUGGGUGUGUAUUAUCAUCAUGAAAAUGGUGAUGUCCUUGUAGACUACAGUUAUGUGCUCGUCUGUCAUGUUCAUUCGAAAUUGUUGGAAACCUUUUAUUUAUUUAUUUAUUCAUGGACGAAAACAUUGAGAAUUUUCGACUAAAACUAGACGAGGACUAAUACAUUUUGAAAUGACUAAAAUAUGACUAAGACUACAAAGUAUUUUUGUUCAAAAAAGACUAAGACGAAAAUUGAAAUGGCUGCCAAAAACAACACUGGUUUAUAUGUAUGGCUAAAACACAGGUUACAUGCAUGUCUGACAAAAAAAGGAUCCUGGCUGCAGUACCAUUUUUGGCCACUAAUCUUACAUAUGGCUCCUAUAGACCCUACUCACCAACGUCACAAAAUGACGUGUCGCUGUAUCCGGCCGCCAUAUUGUCCGUCAUUGUUUAGCUCUAUUCUCAAUGGUUUCAAUUAGUCGUGCAAUUUAUAUAUAUAAAAAAAAAAAAAAAGUUGACUGCGACGCGUCAAGGAUAGGUGCAUAUUGGACUAUUUCUUCAAUAAAAUACACAACUGUGUCUGCUUCAUUUGCAAAGAGACAGUCGCGGAAGAUACGCAACGAGAAAUUAAAGCAACUUGAAGCUAAUUUAAUUUCACAGCAGCAAUAUUUCGCAAGAGCCCGAGGGUCAAAAGGAAACUGAUUGUUGAAAUUAUGAAUUAAAAAAAAUAAUAAAGCAAAUGUAACACACAGAAGAGCUUGCUAAAAUUUCUUUAAAUGUAUUGUUCUACGUUAAUCAGCCCUGGUAGCCCCCUACAUUUUUACCACACCAACUCUGGCCCCCUUUGCAAAAAGUUUGGACACCCCUGUUUAUCCGAUGAUCCGUAGACGAGGCCAGCUUCUUUCACUUGUUACCAGCUAAAUAUUAUUCAAAAAAUAAAGAUGGUGGAAGAAAUAGGCAUCUUGAAUUUGAAACUGUAUGUUGUCGGCGAUUAGCCUAGCAAUGAUCUUAAUUGUGGUUGUCAGCCCAAAACCCUCUAAAUAUAUAUUAAAUGUAUCUUACCAGAUAUAAAAUGACUACUACAUAAUCUGUGGUAAUCGUUUGGAGCCCAGUUUUCUCAUCGAAUUGUAGCAGUCCAUCUCGCUCUCCUCUCCGGGUCUCUCGGAAUACGGUAGAACUUCAAGUCUCUCCGUCUAUCUUCUCUGUUAUUGCAACCGACUGCCACACACGUCUUCACCAUUUUGAUUAUGAAUGUUAACGAGCAGAAAAACACGCCAUAAUAGGAGGAAUUUACGUAGCGGUAAUCCGUCAACACGACGAGUUGAUGGACAAUAUGGCACUGCGGCGUGGUUGUGACGUCAUGUGAGUAGGGUCUAUAAAAUGGAGCGCAAAUGAAGCUACCAAAAUAGAAUAUGCUCAAAGUUUACUCGUGACUGAAGGAAAAAAGAAAAAAAAAUAUUUGCGUGAACUAUUUUUGAUGCAUAUACCUCUAACUAAUUACUUUGCUUUUACAUGAACCCACAGAAAUCUUUAAAAUACGGUAUGAAUAAUACCUGUGCUUUGACUAUGCCCUUUUCAACUUUCUUCUGGCGCCUGAGGAGGAGGAACUUCCGAGUAGCACACUGGAUAACCAAUGCAGAUUUGUGGCGCCGAGCUAACCAACGCCUGACUGCUCUUUGGGCUGUAACCACCUUCCUUCGGUCUGCCAGGUAGCGUCUCUUUUGCAGCACCAUUCGCACCAAAUUCUGAGAGACAGAAAUGUUUUCAAGGUCCAGUAUGCUCGCAAAGCUCUUUGGAUCUUAAUAGCACAGAGGUGGUGGAAGACAGCCCCAGCAAAACGAAGUCUCCUCUGUGCAAUGGCAGCCUCGUGUUCCUGGAUUAUACAAACAAUUAAUUUUUGUAAUAGUGACAAUGUAUACUUGAAUAGAAAAAAAAUAAUUUUGUAAUACCUGCUUUCGCACAACCCAGUCUCUGUAGUAGCUUUGAAGUGUGACUGCUGCCUGCCUUAUUCUGACAAAUCUUUUUCUUUCGACAUUGCCAACCUGCAUUGCUCGGAACCUCUCUUGCAAUUUCACAGCUGCCUCUCUCUUCUUCUGGAAGAUGCGCCUCUGGACUGAGCAUCUCCAGUAUGAUUGGAUCAAGCAAGCAGCUCCAUUUUGUUGGUUUAUGUCUCUCCUAACACAGUGGCCUCGAUACGCAGCCUGGAGAAUCACUGCAGCCCAUUUCAUUUUCAGGAAGUUUGUUCUUUCUUGCCUUUGACGGAUAAAAGCCCGGUAGUGCUUCUGAAUCACCACAACAGAUGCAUGCAGAAUUUGAAGUAUAACAUGUUUCCUGUAUGCCAAUUGGAUUACAGUUGCAGCCUGGUGCAAACGGACAAUGAAUUUUCGGGUUUGUUUGCCUCUGAAAUGUGCCUGUAAGAUGAUGGCAGCGUUGCACAAUUCCAAGAACCGUUUCCUUUGAGAUUUGGCUGCUCUAGCAGAACGAAACCUUUGCUGAAUGGUCAGUGCAGAGGAUUUUAUUUUCAAAUACCGCUUCAACUUACAAUGGGCUCUGAAUGUUGCUUGAAUGGUUGUGGCAGCCAGAUGCAUUUGCCUGAUGAAUUUUCUUGAUUUCAUUCCCCGAAAGGCAGCUUGUAGAACAAAAACAGCAUUCCUGACUUCUUCAUAGUGUUUUACCUCCAUGUUCCUCUGUCUCAGUGCUCUAAAUCUCUGCUGUAAGACAGAAAUAGCCCAGAGUUGUUUCUUGAAAGCCAAUUGCUGUUGAUGUCUCUUGAAAUAUGCUUGAAUGAUUGUAGCUGCUCUGUGCAUCUUGGUAAUCCUUUGUCUUUCUAAACAACCCCUGUAAAUGGCCUGCAGAAAUAUAACUGAAGAUCUGAUUUUCAGAAAGUAGUAUCUUUGUUUUUUCUGAAGGACAUAGGAUCUAUAGUAUCUUUGAAUGGUGACUGCUGAUGAACACAUAGACUGGAAUUUCAUUUUUUCUCUGCGACCUCUGAAAACAGAUUGGAUCACAGUUGCAGCCAGAUGCAAUUGUUUAAUGGCUCGUCUUGUUUUCAUUCCUCGGAAUGCAGCUUGUAGUCUGAUCACAGCAGUUUUGACUUCCUGAUAACGUUGUUGCUCAAGGUGUCUCUGUCUCAAAGCUCUAACUCUCUGCUGUAAGAUACAUAUUGCCCAUAGUUGCUUUUUGAACGUCAAUUGCUGCCUGUGUCUCUUGAAAUGUGCUUGAAUAAUAGUAGCUGCUCUGUGCAUCUUUGCAAUUCUUUGUCUCUCCAACUGACCUCUGUAAGCCGCCUGUAAACAGAUGAUAGAAGAUCGGAUUUUCAUGAAGUAGUCCCUUUCUUUUUUCUGAAGAAUAUAUGCUCUAUAGUAUCUUUGGAUGGUGAUUGCUGAUGAGCACAUAGACUGGAAUUUCAUUUUUUCUCUGCGACCUCUGAAAACAGAUUGGAUCACAGUUGCAGCCUGUUGCCAUCGUUUAAUGGAUCGUCUUGUUUUCAUUCCUCUGAAUGCAGCUUGUAGUCUGGUCACAGCAGUCUUAACUUCUUGAUAACGUUGUUUCUCAAGGUUUCUCUGUCUUAGACCUCUAACUCUCUGCUGUAAGAUACAUACAGCCCAUAGUUGCUUCUUGAAAGUCAAUUGCUGCCUAUGUCUCUUGAAAUGUGCUUGAACAAUGGUAGCUGCUUUGUGCAUUUUAGCAAUUCUUCGUCUCUCCAAAUGGCCCCUAUAGGCCGCUUGUAAGCAGAUGAUUGAGGAUCUGAGUUUCAUGAAGUAGUACCUUUCGUUUUUCUGAAGAUUAUAUGCUCUAUAGUAUGUUUGGAUAGUGAUGGCUGAUGAGCACAUGGCCUGGAAUUUUAUUUUUUCUCUGUGACCUCUGAAAGCAGACUGGAUCACAGUUGCAGCCUGCUGCCACCGUUUAAUGGAUCGUCUCGUUUUCAUUCCUCGGAAUGCAGCUUGUAGUCUGAUCACAGCAGUUUUAACUUCUUGGUAACGUUGUUUCUCAAGGUUUCUCUGUCUUAGAGCUCUAACUCUCUGCUGUAAGAUACGUACAGCCCAUAGUUGCUUCUUGAAAGUCAAUUGCUGCCUAUGUCUCUUGAAAUGUGCUUGAACAAUGGUAGCUGCUCUGUGCAUCUUAGCAAUUCUUCGUCUCUCCAAAUGGCCCCUAAAAGCCGUCUGUAAGCAGAUGAUUGAGGAUCUGAUUUUCAUGAAGUAGUCCCUUUCUUUUUUCUGAAGAAUAUAUGCUCUAUAGUAUCUUUGGAUAGUGAUGGUUGAUGAGCACAUGGCCUGGAAUUUCCUUUUUUCUCUGUGACCUCUGAAAGCAGACUGGAUGACUGUUGCAGCCUGAUACCUUUGUUUGAUUAAGUGUCUUUUUUUCAUUCUUCGAAAGGCAGAUUGGAGAUAACAAGCAGCAUUCCUGAAUUCUUGAUAGCGUUUCAUUUCUAAGUUCCUCUGUCUCAGAGCUCUAAACCUUUGCUGUAUAACACGAGCAGCCAAGCAUUGUUUCCUGAAGACCAGUUGUUGCUUAUGCCUCUUGAAGUUUGCUUGUACAAUUGUUGCAGCUCUGUGCAUCUUGGCAAUCCUUCUUCUAACAGAGAGACCUCUGAUAGCUGCCUGAAGAGUGAUUGCUGAGGAUCUUACUUUCAAAUAGUAUCUCUGGUCUUUUUUCUGAAGGAGAUGGGCCCGGUAAUAUUUCUGGAUUAUUAUUGUCGACAGACGUAAGUCCUGGAAUUUGACUUCUUCUCUGUGCAUUCUGAAAGUAGACUGAAUCAAAGUGGCAGCCUGAUGCCAACAAGCAACAUCCUUCCUGACCCUCAGUCCUCUGUAUGCAGCCUGAAUGAUGACUGCAGACUUGUGCAAGUUUUGGUAAUGUUGCAUUGCAGCCUUGGCUGCUUGAGUGGCGCGGAAUCUACGUUGUACAGCAAGCACUGAAGAUUUUAACGUAAUGUACUUUUUGUGUUCGAAGUGGGCUCUGAAAGCUCUCUGAAUAAUAGAGGAGGCUUUCUGCUUUCGUUUAAUCAUUUUUCUGCAGAUCAUUCCCCGGACAGCGGAUUGUAGGACAAUCACAGCAUGUCUCUUUGCAGUCAGAGCCUGCUUCUCACGUCUUAUUUCUUUGUUGGCUUUGUAACGUGCUUGCAAAACACCAGAAGCCCAUCGAAGCCUCCUAUAGUAGUUUGUCUGUAGAUAUCUCCGAAAGUUUGACUGAAUCUUAACAGCAGCGCUAUGCUUGAUGCCUAACUGCUUUCGGAUGAUGUAUCCUCUCAAGGCCGCUUGCAGGAAAAUGACCAACCUACACUUUGAGAGAUAAUGCUCCCGCUCUUCUCUCAUCAGGAUCACAGCUCUGUACCGCUGCUGGAAAGCCAAUGUUGCCGACCUAAUAGCAAGGAAUUUAUUCCUCUCCCGCAUCGUGAGAAACUUUCUCUGAAGAACAAUAGCCGCACGCUGCAUCUGUGCAAUUUUCACCCUGGUUCGAUGACCACGAUAUGCGGCCUGGAUGAUAAUAGCGGCAGAUUUCAUGGUCCUGUACUUCUUCAGUUGUUGAUCCAUGAGCAUUUUGGCCCUGAAUCGCUCUUGUAAAAUGAUAGCAGCACACUUCAUAGUAACAUAAGCCAUAUGUACUCUGUGCAUUUUGAACAGAGCCUGGAUUACUCUUGCGGCAUUGUCCCUUUUCUUAAAUUCUUCUCUUUGUCUCCAGCCUCUGUAAAUUGUUUGGAUUUUUAAAGCAGCUUUUUUUAGCUCUUCAUACUUGUGUCGGUGUGCUCUACAGAGGAGUAGAGCUCUAUAACGGCUCUGGAUGAUAAUGGUUGCACUUUGAAUGAGAAUGUAUUGUUUCCUCAUUAAAUACAUCCUAAAUGCAGCCUGGAUGACAACUGCAGAUUUGUGCUUUUCCUUAAGGUCUGUCCUAACUUUCAUUCCUCUAUAUCCUGCUGCUAUCUUGACACAGGCUGCUCGCUUCUGGAGAAAUGCUGUCCUGGUUUUCUUUCCAGCCACAUAGGCCUGAUAGUGACGUUGAAUGACAACAGCUGCUGCCUUUUUUGACCUAAACUCCACUUGGGCCUUGUAUCGCAAGUAGUGGGCCUUGAUAAGUGUUGCACACUGGUGGGAUUUUUCAAGCCUCAUCCUGUCAGCUCGACCUCUCCAAUUGGCUUGUAUUAUGAGUACGGCCUUUUUUAAAGUUUCAUAGUCCUCCUUCGUCCUACGAGAUAAAAUUGUGGCUCGACGCUUUUGCUGUAUCACAACUGUUGCUUUUCUCAGAGCAAGGUAGCGUCUUCGGGUAACAAAUUUUCUGAACGCAGCCUGUAUCGCAGUUGCAGCUCUGUGCUGUUUAAGUGAAUUACAUGCUCUUUUUCUCCGGUAAGCCACCUGAAUGGUCCUAGCUGCACAGCACAUCUUGAGAAAUAGUUGCCUUUCCACAUUUCUUCGAGCAGAGGCCCGGUACCACCGCUGGAUAAGGACUGUAGCAUAUUUUAAUCUCAAAGCCUUUUUCCUGACACAGUACCCUCUGAAAGCACUCUGAAUGACAAUGGCUGCGUUGAGUUGUUGCUUGUGCUUCUGAUACUGGCAUCUUUGUGCAUGACCUCUGUAAUGGGCUUGAAUGAACAAGGCACUUCUUUGGAUUUUUCUGUAUUGAUAUAAGCACCUCUGCAUUCUAUAGAAAGACUGAAUCUUAAUAGCAGCUGCUGCUCUUUUGGCAAUUUUCUCGAUGUACCAUUUCCUAAAUGCGGUUUGCAAAACUCUGGCAGCAUGGUUUUCCCUUUGAGUUUUCUGGAUUUUCCAACGUCUGUAUCCUCUCUGAAUUUUCAGCACUGCUGCUUUGAGAGAAAGAUAACUUGUGUGUUCCUUUCUUCCAAUAAUGAAAGCUUUUAAAUAUCGCUGCAAAACAGUUGUUGCACAGUAGAUUCUUCCGUAAGCAAAGACUGCCCUCUUCAUUCGCCACUGUGAUUGGACAACAAUGGUCUUGUAUCGGAGAUUCUGGUAAUAUGUCAGGGCUGAGAACAUUCUCCAUUGUGCCUUUGUAAAAAAGAAACAAGUAAUUGAACAAUUCAAUAAGUACCUUUAUAUUUGCUUUGUAUAUAUUUGUGAUGUAAACUGAAAUGGCAUGUCAAGAAUAAAACUAGGUGAAGGGAAAUCAGUACUCCUAAGUAACACAAUGCAGUGGAUUGACUCAAUGAGGCUGAUAAAGUACCAACAGUAAUAAAAUACAAAUCACUGACAAAGAUAUCAGAUUUAUCCAUCUCCUCUGAUUAAUAUUGUAAAUGCUUAUUUUCAAGAAAUACUAUUAAAUAAAAUUUUAGAUUUAGGGGGGGUUUAGGGGUCCUUAAAGGGUUAAUUCCGAGUUACGCGGAAAUUCGGAUUAAGUCGCCAGCGUAGGAACGGAAGUAGUUCGUAACCCGGCAACUACCUGUAGUUUAAACCGUAAAUAUACCACAAACUAUGACAGAAACAGACUGACUGUUAGAGGUGUAACGAUACAUCAUCCUGAAUUUAUAGAUUAUAUGACAUAAAAAGACAAAAAUAAAAUCAGAUUUCUUUAUUUUCUAUUAUAAAUCACUAAGGAUUAAGCCUGAACGAUAUAUCGUUUAAACAUCGCCAUCGCAAUGUGCGCGAUAGUCCCAUCGCAAGCACGUGCGAUAGUUAUUUUUUUAAAUCCACAUACGCCUUGCUUUCUGCUCUGCACACAGCCUCACACCCUCCCUCUCCCAGCCCUUUGUUCCACACAGUCACUGCAGCACUUCCUUAUUAAAGUUAACGAUGCUCGUUGUCUUUGAUCUUGCCAAAGAAGCGGACUACAAAGCGGAGCAAUGUGUCAAUCAUCGUUUAACUUGUUAAACAGUUUCUGCAAGGAAGCCGCACUGGAAUGAAGGUGUGUGUGUGUGUGUGUGUGUGUGUGUGUGUGUGUGUGUGUGUGUGUGUGUGUGUGUGUGUGUGUGUGUGGAGACGUUGGAGACAUAAAAUAAAUGCCAGAAGUGAUCAUGAGGAGUUUCAAAUUUCUACAUGUCACUCCAAGAGUCACAGCUAAGGUAAAUAAACAGAAGCAUUUAAUCAAGCCAAGCAUUUUUCUACUACAGUACUUUAUUCUUGUUCAAAAAUGAUUUGGUUGGACAGUUAUGUUUAAAACUGAUGAUAAUUAUGACAUUUGAAGUAGAGCUAAAACGAAUACUCCUGCAACUCGAGUAACUCGAGUUUAAAAACUGAUCCGAGUAAUUUUAUUCACCUCGAGUAAUCAUUUAUUUUGACAGCUCUAAGAAAUCACGUUUUGCUCGGACUACUUUUAAUGCGGGACAACGCGUUGAUGUCACGUGCGUAGAGGAAGAAGCAAAAAAAAAAAAAAAAAAAAACCUUACUGCAGCCGACAGCCGCUACAAACGACACUGACGUUGCUAAAUACUAGCCCGCACAAGGCUACGUUGGUAGCAGGUAGCGUCUGAUGAGUCUCAUAGAGAUCACAUGUAUGUUGAACUAGAUGCGAAAUGACAGACUCGGCCGCUUCUCGGCAGCGUUAGUAAACAGCCGCCAUCUUAAAGCAGUAGAGCGCUAAGCGCUAAUAAAGAGCGCUAAGUGCUAAUAAAUAAGAUUAACGUUACUGUCACUAGCUCACGUAAGGUUAGCCCUGCGGAGGGCUAGGUUUCUAUUAAUUAUGACCACUGUCGAUGCGUGGCUAACAUGUCUUACAUACAGGCUUUAACAUAACAUAGCGUUGUGGAGUGAUGAGGGUGUAAAAUAAAAACUCAAUAAUGCUAACUAUCAAUUUUAGCUCCGUAGUCAUUGCUGGAUAAAACACCAAGUAGCACUGGUCCCUAAUGUGCUCUAAUACAGCCUGUAUCAUACAUUUAUUUUGAACACUGCAAAAACUCAAAAUACUAUCAGGACUUACAGUUUAGACGAACUUAAAACUUAACUAGAACUUAAAAAUGGCUUGACACAAAUAGAAAUUCAAUUGAAACACGUGGGGAAAAAAUCCUAAUUUUUAAGUGAUGUGUGUUAUCAAGCGUAACGGCAUUUUUAUAUAUUUUUUUUUAAUAAGAUCUAAAGGUUUUUUUGAGUGAAAGCAGUGAAUUAGUUUUUUUUUAAUUUUUAUUCUAGUUACAUCUGAGAUGCAAUUGUUGGCUGUUUUCAACAAUAUACAUCGAAAAUAAAGACAUUGAUUGACUGAAAAUGGUUCAAGAUUGGAUGAAAUGUCUUGUUUUCUCAUGUAUAUUUAUAAUUGCCCUUCUCCUAAAAAUAUAUUUGUUUUAUCCGAUUACUCUAUUAAUCGAUAGAAUUUUCAGUCGAUUACUCAAUUACUAAAAUAUUAGAUAGCUGCAGCCCUAAUUUGAAGAGCUUAAAAACCAUUUAUUUAUAUACAUUUUUAAAUCACUUUGGGGGAAAAAGUGAGAAAAAAACAUGUCUAAUAUGUAUCUCUUUCCAUUGCUAAAUCUGAAUAAAUACAUUGAGCACAAAAAACACACACACACACACAAAAAAAUAAAAUAAAAUAAAAAAUUGGGGGGGUGCGCUACUUCGCGGUUUUUCACUUAUCGCGGCGGGUUCUGGUCCCCAUUAACCGCGAAAAACGAGGGAUCACUGUACACUGUGGUGAUGGUGAGUCAUCCAAAGUCUUUCCAAACAGCUAUUCAAGUCAUCCAGUGAAAAAAAUAAAAUAAAAUAAAACACACACACACACAUAUAUAUAUAUAUAUAUAUAUAUACACAUACAUACACACACACACAUAUAUACACAUACAUACACACACACACAUAUAUACACAUACAUACACACACACACAUAUAUACACAUACAUACACACACACACAUAUAUACACAUACAUACACACACACACAUAUAUACACAUACAUACACACACACACAUAUAUAUAUAUAUAUUUUUUUUUUUAUAUCGCAAUAUUAUAUCGCAAACCCCCCAAAAAUCGCAACAAUAGUUUUUUCCAAUAUCGUUCAGGCCUACUAAGGAUAGAAACCAAAAUAAAUAAAUGUAUUUACACAAGGCUCCACUGCAUUUGUGUAUUAACUUUUUUUUCCCAAUGUAAAGCAGAGUCAUAGGAGUUACAGAAAUGCUACACAAGAGUUAAGAUACCUGGAUGAUUGUUGCUGCUCGUUCUCGUAUGAUCCAGAGUUCUUUUUCCUUUUCAAUCUGCAGCUUUUUGCGGGUUACAAAGCCUCUCCAAGCUGAUUUUAUGAUUGUGGAUGCUGCAUAUUGCUUUUUGGCCCUGUGACGCUGGAGAAAAUGCCUCACAGCUGCCUGAAUUUUCACAGCAGCCAUGUUUCUCUCCUGUCCAAACAGGAAAUGGUAAAUGGUGUUAUACUUAUAUAGCGCUUUUCCAACAAAAUUAUCACCACAAUCAGAUGCAAGACCAUAAAAUUUGAGCCUGGAGAGAUACACAGAUAUGAAAAUUGCAACACUCGGUUACCCUCAGAUGUGACCAACCUUGUAGCACUGCAAGUCUUUUUUUAACCUGUAAUUCCUCCAGACACCUUGUAUGACCCGGGCUGCUCUGGUUUCAUUACGCAGGUCCAAGAGACGAGCACACAGGAAAGACAGGUAAGACAUUACAACCUGUUGAGGAAGUAUAAAUAGAUAAGUAUGGGGUUGAUUUUUCUUGCACAUUUAGACAUUUCACUUGUUAGGAAACACCGACUCUCACACUAAACUUGUGGAUCUUCAAGGGUAACGUCUGGAGUUACACCAUAUUCACAACUAUACAGUAUACUGUAUUGCUCCACUAGUCUUACAAUGCGUAUCUAUGAUUAUGGUUUUGUGUUAGUUUGGAUAAAAAUCUGGCUCAUCACACCUUCUCAUUGGGGAUGGUGUUGGACAUGUCAGCUGGGUUGAUCAUGGCAGGUACUCCACCCAAAAAAGCCACUGCAGUAUUAACCAAGCUAAAAUUGCUCUUUUCAUUUUCCAGCAGCUCUGCAAACUUCAUAGCAGGGUACAGGCCUGUUCCGGGAACAAACAAACAAAAAGUUCAAAUUGACUCUUGAAUAUCAUGUUUUGAGUGAAUGACACACACCAUUAAGGCCUGUGGGACAGGAGUCAAAGGAAUUGUCAGAGUCUGUGGCCGAGCAGUUGAGCUCCAGGCGACCCCUUGAUGAGCAAUCUACAGUUUGGGUGGUGUAAUGAUGCACAGACUCCGCUGUGAUGAGACCGGGAUGGUAGUGGUGGAUUAGGUAGCAGAGGACACGGCCAUCUGAGAAUGUCACAGUGAAGUUCUCCAGCUAAAGAAAGAAGAAAAAAAAAAAUACUUCAAUCAACAUUAGGCUCUCCUGAAGGUCAAAUUUUGUUGCCAGGUGUCAAGGAGGGGAAAAAAAAUUCCUAUAGUUUUCAUACUAAUCGACACACUUAAAGUUCUUUUUUGUCUCCAAAAUUGACAGCACCCCCCCCCCCCCCCCACACACACACACAUAUAUUAGGGCUGUCAAAAUUAUCACGUUAAAGGGCGGUAAUUAAUUUUUUUUAAUUAAUCACGUUAAAAUAUUUGACGCAAUUAACGCACAUGCCCCGCUCAGACAGAUUUAAAUGACAGUACAGUGAAAUGCCCACUUGUUAAUUGUGUUUUAUGGAGUUUUGCCACCCUCUGCUGGCGAUUGGGUGCGACUGAUUUUAUAGGCUUAAGCACCCAUGAGCAUUGUGUAAGUAAUUAUUGACAUCAACAAUGGCGGGCUACUAGUUUAUUUUUUGAUUGAAAAUUUUUCAAAUUUUAUUAAAACAAAAACAUUAAGAGGGAUUUUAAUAUAAAAUUUCUAUAACUUGUACUAACAUUUAUCUUUUAAGAACUACAAGUUUUUCUA